AGCUGCAUGUAAGGAUUUUGUGACUCAUUCCUAGGGUGGUGAUAUCAGGGUCAGGCCUAAUAAUGGAAAUAAGUUAAACAACUUGCUGGCCCUUAAAAUCGUCAUCGAAAAGCGAAUUGAAAGUUUUUUUUCAAGAUCACUGUUGUAAUUUUCUAAUCCAAAUGUGCUAGCCGACAACCUCCGAUCGCUGCGUCAUACAGUUUUCGUCGACGAUUUGGAUGUCACUUUGUCAGAAGAAGAGGAUGUGAAUCAGGACUACUUGUCAAAAUUUUUGGCGAGGAUCUCUGCACUGACGUCUUAAAAACUACUAUUUCAUGCUUAACGGACCCUCUACUUAAUCGCGACCUUGUUUUAAUGUUACUCGAUUUCGUCUUUUUGCAAAUCCUCCCAAUAUGUGCUUUCCAACAUAUGUGUUGUUUGUCGAAGCUUGUGUACUGAAAUCUUGAAUUGAACUCAAUGUUUCGAAACGUUAGUUGACAUGCCGCUGCAAGAUUUCGGUUAGGGGAAAAACAUUCAUUCUAAACUGAAUGAAAGCAGACCUGAAAAAUUCAGAAGCACACGGUUCAACCUCGCCAGCAUGAUAUAUUACUUUUAAUUCGGAUAAACGCCUGUGUAACCGACGAGAAAUACAAUUCUAAAAUCGUAUUUUGCCGCUUCUAAAAAAAUACUUAAUACACUAAAAAUACUAAAUUGCUGUCCCAUUUUUCCCAAACAGCGUCUAAAUGCCAUA